GCGGACAGUAAGGUGAUGAGAUGUAUAUUCAGAAGGCUCAGCUAUUUGUCAGGAUUUCUUGUAGCUGCAGGCAAUGGAAACCCAACCCAAGGUGGGUUUUAAAAAGGGAGAAUGAGAGAGCCAUGUCUGCUUCAGAUACAGCUGGAUCCAGGAGCACCGCUGACGAUUUUCGUCUGGGGGCUGUCUGCGCCUCUUGGCUCUGCUUUGCCCCAUGUCACUGGCAUUCUCAGGCGGUCUCUGUUUCUCAGGGUGGCACAGUGCCUCAGCUGCUCCAGGCUGACAUCCUACAACGAGCUCAGCCACCUCAAGGCGGCAACGUCUUUCCCAUUCCAAAGUCGCCGGUUUAAUUUCUUGGCCCUGAUUGGAUCGUGUGCUUACCCCUGAACCAAUCCAUGUGGCCAGGGGCCUGACUGGCCAGGCCUGCAGCCCUGAGGAUGGAUGGGGUCAACUCUCCUAAUUCACAAGACCAAGGGGGUGGAGGCACCACAGGGGAAACUCAACGUGGUCUCCAGAAGAAGGGACACAUGUGCUGGGUGGCCCCAGACCCGCGCAAAUACAGCAUCCUCACCAGCUCAGCCAGCGAAUCUAACAAGGACCUACUUUGAGCCUGGCGCCAAGCCCAGAAAUGAAUCUGGCAACUUCCUGCCCUCUGGGAGGAAAAGAAGAUAUAAAUAAGUGCAAUUCAAAGCACUGUGUGAUGUGUCCUGAAAGAAAGAAACAAACAAAAGGCUACAGACACGAGAGGUUGGCUGAGAAAGGGCACUGGGCUGGCAGGAAUGGCUUGAGCAAGGGUAAGGAGGUGGGAGGGGCCAGGUGUGUUCGAAAAACUAGGGGUCAUCCUCGUGGCUGGCGACGUGGGGAACGAAGCUGCAGAGGGCAGUUGGGGUAGAUGGAGCAGGACCAGGCUCACCCAGCCGGGCCGUUUGGACUUUCUCCAGGUCGCAGCGGGGAGCCAUUGAUGGUUUUAGAGCAGAGCAGAAGCAAGAUCUGGAGUUGCACUUUCUGAAGAUGAACUCAGCCGUUGUGGAAGGGGAAGGGCUGGGACAGGGAGAGACUGAAAGGGACAAUUGAGCAGCUGUCACAACUGUCCCAGGACAGAUACUGGACAUCAGAACCAGGGCAAAGCUGCUGACAACUGCAGCAUGUCCCAGCCAGGGAUGGGAGUCUGGAAGAAAAGCAGGAAGGAAGUGAGAGGACAGAGCAGGUUGUUCUCCGCCUGGGCCUGGAUUCCCCCUGCAGCUCCUGACCCUUCUCAGGAAACCAGGAUGCCAGGUGCCAAUGGGACACCAGAAGCAAUGACCAUGCAGCAGAGGACUGGACAUGAUGACCUUGGGAGGUCAGCACACCACCCACUGAUCUCUGAGGCCGAGGCCCCUCCUUUCAUUCUUUCUUAGAAAUAUUUAUGCUCAGGAAGCUGCUUCCUUGACAAACCCGCUGGGCUUCCUAAAUAUUCACCAACGACUCGUUGUACCAUUGGCAGGACAUUUUUGCCAGAGCUGCCAACUGUAUUUACCGACAGAGGGACUGGGAAGAUCUGGGGCAGUGGGGUGGUCAGGGGGAAUAUAUAUAUAGGGGAAUAUACAGAGGAGAGUCCUGAGAGAGCAGAGACCAUCGAAGCCUCUGGAUCAGCUGUGGUCAGGUGGGGAAACCGGGUCACUGAUCCCUCAUAAGGCUUGAAACCAGCAGCUCAUAGCACCUGCCAGAGUCUCCCUAUUUUCAGAGACCAAUAUAAAAGAUGUCUGGCCCAGAGUGGGCUGAGCAGGUCCUGAAGGCAAGAAGGAUGUGCAGAAAAGGAGAUGGGACACCCAUUCCUAAUCAGGAUUGACUGGGCUGUCCUGCUUCCAAGUGCCUACUCCCAACUUAAUGACAACAGCAGACACCUCCAUUCCACCCACUACGUGCCAGGCUGUGUUCCCAUAUGUCACAUGUAUUACCUGGUUCUUGCAACAAAAUAGUCCUGAGCACCAACUAUGUGCAGGACCCUGUUCUAGACACUACUCAUGAACAAAAAACCCAAAAUGCCGUGGAACGGACACUCCAGUGUCAUCGGAAGUAAAUACAAGAUGUAGUAUGCUAGAAGGUGAUGAGUGUUUUGGAGAAAAAUAAAGCAGGGAUAGGAGAUGCGGCUGUCACAGGUGGGAUCUAGUGGCACAGCACUUUGGAGGUAAUGAUGAACAAGCACUCCCAUUUGGCCAAUGAGGUCACUGGGGUGCAGAGAGGCUAAGUGAUUUGCCCAAGGUCACACAGCUACAGAGGCAGGAUUCGAACCCAAGUCAUCUGGCUCCAGAGUCCUGGUUCCUGACCUGACGAGGACUCCAGGUUCUCUGACUUUAGCACAGGCGUCACCAGAGCCUCAAGAUGCAGAGCGACUUGCAGAGGAGCAGGCAGCCAAGAUGGAGGAGGUGGAGGGUUGGCUUUAGCAUUGGGCCAGCUCCCAGGCUGCAGGCCUUGGGAGGCAUUUCUCCUCCCUGGGCCUCAGUUUCCACCUCUGCAAAAUGGGGAAGUUGCAACCCCUGCCAUGGAGUGGGGGUUCCUUGAGGUGGCGCUGUGGAACUGCUUCCUAACACUGGCCACAGCGACUCCCAACACCUCUCAGGCUUGCCCUACAACCCAUUUUUCACCUGCAGCCAAAGGCGUUGCCAUGAAACAGACCAUGUCAUGGUCCCAUCCAGAUCCUCUGAUGGCUGCCCCUCACUUUGGACUCUGGCCUGCAGGUGGCCCCUGGUGUCCUCUCACCUCCACUCACUUCACUGCGGCCACCCAGCCUCCUGGCUGCUCUUGCAGAUCUGCCAACUCCAUCCUGCCCCCCAGCUUGGGCACCCACCAUUCCCUCUGCCUGAAGCCCCCUCCCUCACCUAUCAGCCACGAAUGGAACUCAGCCCGCACUCUGAAACAGAG
rnacentral:lncRNA from 1 species